rnacentral:rRNA from 1 species
GACGAACGCUGGCGGCGUGCCUAAUACAUGCAAGUAGAACGCACAGUUUAUACCGUAGCUUGCUGCACCAUAGACUGUGAGUUGCGAACGGGUGAGUAACGCGUAGGUAACCUGCCCGGUAGCGGGGCAUAACUAUUGGAAACGAUAGCUAAUACCGCAUAAUAUUAAUUAUUGCAUGAUAAUUAAUUGAAAGUUGCAAUUGCACCACUACCAUAUGGACCUGCGUUGUAUUAGCUAGUAGGUGAGGUAACGGCUCACCUAGGCGACGAUACAUAGCCGACCUGAGAAGGUGCUCGGCCACACUGGGACUGUGACACGGCCCAGGAUCCUACGGGCGGGAGCAGUAGGGCAUCUUCGGCAAUGGCCGAAAGUCUGGCCGAGGAAACACGCGUGAGUGACGAAGGUUUUCGGAUCGUAAAGCUCUGUUGUAAGAGAAGGACGGGUGUGAGAGUGGAAAGUUCACAGUGUGACGGUAGCUUACCAGAAAGGGACGGCUAACUCCGUG